GUGUAUUAUUAUACCCCACGCAACGAAGUUGCGGAGGGUAUAAUGUUUUUGACCCGUCCGUCCGUCCGUCAGUCCGUCCGUCCGUCAGUCCGUCCGUCCGUCCGUCCGUCAGUCCGUCAGUCCUGUUUCUUGUCAUCGCAACUCCUCUCAAACCACACAACAGAAUUUCACGAAACCUUUUCAGAUGAAAAGGACAUACUAUGUAGUUGUGCAUAUCGACAGGAAAUUGCGAUUCAAUUUUUUUUAUAAGAGUUACGCCCCUUUGAACGUAUUUGCUUAAUGUACUACUGCAACAGUUUGUCAUCGCAACUCCUCUGAAACUACACAACAGAAUUUCACGAAACCUUUUUAGAUAAUAAGGACAUACAAUGUAGAUGUGCAUAUCGACAGGAAAUUACGAUUCAAUUUUUUUUCUAGGAGUUACCCCCCUUUGAACUUAUUUACUUUAUUGUACUACUGCAACAGUUUGUCAUCGCAACUCCUCUGAAACUACACAACAGAAUUCAUGAAACCUUUUAAGAUAAUAAGGACAUACUAUGUAGAUGUGCAUAUCGACAGAAAAUUACGAUUCAAUUUUUUUUCUAGGAGUUACCCCCCCUUUGAACUUAUUUACUUUAUUGUACUACUGCAACAGUUUGUCAUCUCAACUCCUCUGAAACCACACAACAGAAUUUCAUGAACAUUUGUAGAUAAUAAGGAAAUACUAUGUAGAUGUGCAUAUCGACAGGAAAUUACGAUUAAAUUUUUUUUCUAGGAGUUACAUCUCUUUGAACUUAUUUGCUUUAAGGUACUACUGCAACAGUUUGUCAUCGCAACUCCUCUGAAACUACACAACAGAAUUUCAUGAAACCUUUUAAGAUAAUAAGGACAUACUAUGUAGAUGUGCAUAUCGACAGGAAAUUACGAUUCAAUUUUUUUUCUAGGAGUUACAUCUCUUUGAACUUACUUGCUUCAAUGUACUUCUGCAACAGUUUGUCAUCUCAACUCCUCUGAAACCACACAACAGAAUUUCAUGAAACCUUUUCAGAUGAAAAGGACAUACUAUGUAGUUGUGCAUAUCGACAGGAAAUUGCGAUUCAAUUUUUUUUAUAAGAGUUACGCCCCUUUGAAUGUAUUUGCUUAAUGUACUACUGCAACAGUUUGUCAUCGCAACUCCUCUGAAACUACACAACAGAAUUUCACGAAACCUUUUUAGAUAAUAAGGACAUACAAUGUAGAUGUGCAUAUCGACAGGAAAUUACGAUUCAAUUUUUUUUCUAGGAGUUACCCCCCUUUGAACUUAUUUACUUUAUUGUACUACUGCAACAGUUUGUCAUCGCAACUCCUCUGAAACUACACAACAGAAUGUCAUGAAACCUUUUAAGAUAAUAAGGACAUACUAUGUAGAUGUGCAUAUCGACAGAAAAUUACGAUUCAAUUUUUUUUCUAGGAGUUACCCCCCCUUUGAACUUAUUUACUUUAUUGUACUACUGCAACAGUUUGUCAUCUCAACUCCUCUGAAACCACACAACAGAAUUUCAUGAACAUUUGUAGAUAAUAAGGAAAUACUAUGUAGAUGUGCAUAUCGACAGGAAAUUACGAUUAAAUUUUUUUUCUAGGAGUUACAUCUCUUUGAACUUAUUUGCUUUAAGGUACUACUGCAACAGUUUGUCAUUGCAACUCCUCUGAAACUACAC
rnacentral:lncRNA from 1 species